rnacentral:rRNA from 1 species
GACGAACCGUGCAAACGUUGUUCGGAUUCACUGGGCUUAAAGGGUGCGUAGGCGGACGGUCAAGUCAGGGGUGAAAUCCUCCCGCUUAACGGGAGAAGUGCCUUUGAUACUGGCCGUCUCGAGGGAGGUAGGGGCAUGUGGAACUUCCGGUGGAGCGGUGAAAUGCGUAGAUAUCGGAAGGAACGCCGGUGGCGAAAGCGACGUGCUGGAUCUCUUCUGACGCUGAGGCACGAAAGCCAGGGUAGCGAACGGG